GAAUCAAAGAUCUAUAAGUCUGAAAUGUUAUAAACCUGAACAAAGCUGGACAGUUUCUGCACAGAUGUUUAUUUAUUUCCUUUAGAUUUCCCACUUCAAGAUCCCACACUAUGUGAUGUUUGUAGACAGCUUCCCACUGACGUCCUCAGGAAAGAUCAAGAAGAGACAAAUAAAGGAAGAAAUGGAGAAGAAAUUAGGUCUUUAGGUUUUUAGAUCUUACUGCAAACUGGAUGAGAACACUGUCAGUUGGGUCGAAGAGGCAACAGGUCCCAAAGKGAAAUCCAGACAUCCCUCUCCCCAGUAACACUUUCCAGCUCGUCCUGGGGGACCCGGAAGCAUUCCCAGGACAGAGGGGCUACAUAACCCAUGACCAUAUCAUCAUGUUGUGUAAUAAUGUUGAAAAUUAUAUAUUGAGCUCAUAAAAAAAUCUAUCUAUAAAACUUAAUAAAAGUCUUUUUAGUGCCUAGAUCUGCAAAUGAACUAUUGAAAACAAAUUAAUGAAACAAAYAGUUUUCAUUUGGAUGGUUUUACAUUUCUUAUUAUAAAAUAAAAACUAUUUACAAUAUCUAUGAAAAUCCCUGAUAAGACCUACAAAUUGUCAAUAAAGGUUUUAAGUCAUUGUGUAUUUUUUAAAUCACCAUUCUGUUUGACAAAAUAAAUUGUUAUACAAACAGCA